rnacentral:rRNA from 1 species
UAUCCUGUCUGAAUAUGGGGGGACCAUCCUCCAAGGCUAAAUACUCCUGACUGACCGAUAGUGAACCAGUACCGUGAGGGAAAGGCGAAAAGAACCCCGGCGAGGGGAGUGAAAAAGAACCUGAAACCGUGUACGUACAAGCAGUGGGAGCACCCUUCGGGGUGUGACUGCGUACCUUUUGUAUAAUGGGUCAGCGACUUAUAUUCUGUAGCAAGGUUAACCGAAUAGGGGAGCCGGAGGGAAACCGAGUCUUAACCGGGCGUUAAGUUGCAGGGUAUAGACCCGAAACCCGGUGAUCUAGCCAUGGGCAGGUUGAAGGUUGGGUAACACUAACUGGAGGACCGAACCGACUAAUGUUGAAAAAUUAGCGGAUGACCUGUGGCUGGGGGUGAAAGGCCAAUCAAACCGGGAGAUAGCUGGUUCUCCCCGAAAGCUAUUUAGGUAGCGCCUCGUGAAUUCAUCUCCGGGGGUAGAGCACUGUUUCGGCUAGGGGGCCAUCCCGGCUUACCAACCCGAUGCAAACUGCGAAUACCGGAGAAUGUUAUCACGGGAGACACACGGCGGGUGCUAACGUCCGUCGUGAAGAGGGAAACAACCCAGACCGCCAGCUAAGGUCCCAAAGUCAUGGUUAAGUGGGAAACGAUGUGGGAAGGCCCAGACAGCCAGGAUGUUGGCUUAGAAGCAGCCAUCAUUUAAAGAAAGCGUAAUAGCUCACUGGUCGAGUCGGCCUGCGCGGAAGAUGUAACGGGGCUAAACCAU